AUUGAACGCUGGCGGCAGGCCUAACACAUGCAAGUCGAACGAGUGGCGGACGGGUGAGUAAUGUCUGGGAAUCUGCCUGGUAGUGGGGGAUAACUACUGGAAACGGUAGCUAAUACCGCAUACUAUCAGAAGAGCCUAGAUGGGAUUAGCUAGUUGGUGGGGUAAAGGCUCACCAAGGCGACGAUCCGUAGCUGGUCUGAGAGGAUGACCAGCCACACUGGAACUGAGACACGGUCCAGACUCCGACGGGAGGCAGCAGUGGGGAAUAUUGGACAAUGGGGGCAAGCCUGAUCCAGCCAUGCCGCGUGUAUGAAGAAGGCCUUCGGGUUGUAAAGUACUUUUAGCUGGGAGGCGUUACCCGCAGAAGAAGCACCGGCUAACUCCGUGCCAGCAGCCGCGGUAAUAC
rnacentral:rRNA from 1 species